rnacentral:rRNA from 1 species
AUACGUAGGGGGCGAGCGUUAUCCGGAAUUAUUGGGCGUAAAGAGUGCGUAGGUGGUUUUGUAAGCGCGAGGUGAAAGGCUAUGGCUCAACCAUAGUAAGCCUUGUGAACUGUAAGACUUGAGUGCAGGAGAGGAAAGUGGAAUUCCUAGUGUAGCGGUGAAAUGCGUAGAUAUUAGGAGGAACACCAGUGGCGAAGGCGACUUUCUGGACCGUAACUGACACUGAGGCACGAAAGCGUGGGGAGC